CUUGGCUUACUUUAUUGACAUAGUACUAUUCCGUUAAAAUUCUCGCUAGGCAUACUUCGCGUACUCGACGUACUGUGCUUUCUUAAAGUAAGCUAACUACGACAUGUCGGGUCUCGGGAGGUGUCUCUCUUGACUUCUUGGCGUACUUAGUCGUGAUCAAAAUGAACGCGGUGCGAAUUAACAAUUUAUUUUUAUUUGGCGAUGAACAUGGCAAUGAACGAGAAGAUAGUAGACGUUUAUGAAUAGAACGAGUUCUUAUUCGUCAACGGACAGUCUAUCGGCUAUCAGACGAAGAAUUUCGUACCAAUUUUCAUAUAUCCAAACAUACUUUUGAAAGAAUUUUGCAUGAAUUAACACCUCAUUUGAUUGGCAAGCUUAGGAGUGACGGUAUUUGUGUUGAAAAAAAGGUUGCGGCAACAAUAAGAUUCCUUGCACAAGGCUCUUACCAGAAAGGCGUAGGUAAUGAUUUUUUAAUUGGACUGUCACAACCUGCAAUUAGUAAAGUGUUGAACGAGGUGUUAGAAUGCAUGCAUAUUCAAAUGUGCUCCAAAUAUGUCAAGUUUCUAAUAACUACUGAAGAAAAGACACGUAUUUCCGAUUGGUUUCAAACCAGAUUCAAAAUACCAAAUGUGAUUGGCAUGAUAGACGGGACACAUAUUGGGAUUUUUCCCCCAGCGGUCAACAAUGAAGAUGCAGCACCUUUGUAACACAUAUCGGAAUUCCAAAGAAUGGUUGCUGGGAGAUUCUGGAUAUCCUCUUGAACCGUGGUUAUUGACACCAUUUUCUAACCAAAACAAUGACGAUUAUCAAAUGUUUAAUAACGCCCAUUCUAAGGCUCGUUCAACUGUUGAACGUGCAAUAGGGGUUUUAAAAGGCAGAUGGAGAUGUUUAUGUAAACAAAGAAACCUGCACUCCACAAUAUCUGUAUUCAAAUGGAUGAUUAUUUACCUUUAGAUGAAAUUCUUGUGGAUAAUUAUGACGAUAAUGUUAUUCAUUUUGGAAAUACAAUGUAUAACGUUGGAGAUAAAAAUCGGAGAGCAGUAAUUGCUUAUAUGAACAAUAAUUAGGGAUGAUAAUAAUUGUAAUAUAAAACAUAAUACUUAAACGCAUGGUCGAGUCAUCCCAUGAAUUUUUUUCAAAACACUUAUCGCAUCAUAAAUUAUUUUAUGAAAUACUAGAUAAAAUUCCUAUUUACACAUUGAAAUAUUAUUGUAUAAAAGAUAUGUUAUUUUUGAGAUAGUAUUCUGACCCAUUGACAAUAUGUGACACAAAAAUAAAAACUUCAAGUAUUAAAAUGUAUAAAACUGUAAAU